GACGAACGCUUUCUUCUUUCUUAACACAUGCAAGUCGAACGGAAAGGCCCUGCUUUUGUGGGGUGCUCGAGUGGCGAACGGGUGAGUAACACGUGAGUAACCUGCCCUUGACUUUGGGAUAACUUCAGGAAACUGGGGCUAAUACCGGAUAGGAGCUCCUUCUGCAUGGUGGGGGUUGGAAAGUUUCGGCGGUUGGGGAUGGACUCGCGGCUUAUCAGCUUGUUGGUGGGGUAGUGGCUUACCAAGGCUUUGACGGGUAGCCGGCCUGAGAGGGUGACCGGCCACAUUGGGACUGAGAUACGGCCCAGACUCCUACGGGAGGCAGCAGUGGGGAAUAUUGCACAAUGGGCGGAAGCCUGAUGCAGCAACGCCGCGUGCGGGAUGAAGGAAUUCGGGUUGUAAACCGCUUUCGCCUGUGACGAAGCGUGAGUGACGGUAAUGGGUAAAGAAGCACAGGCUAAAUACGGG
rnacentral:rRNA from 1 species